CAGGACGAACGCUGGCGGCGUGCCUAACACAUGCAAGUCGAACGGAGAGCAUAUGAAGUAUUCGGUACGGAAUGCGUUCUAGUGGCGAACGGGUGAGUAACACGUGGGCAACCUGCCCCAGACUGGGGGAUAACAUUGUGAAAACAGUGCUAAUACCGCAUGACAGGGUUCCGGGCAUCCGGGACUCUUGAAAGGAGAAAUCCCGGUCAGGGAUGGGCCCGCGUCCAAUUAGCUAGUUGGUGGGGUAACGGCCCACCAAGGCGACGAUUGGCAGCCGAACUGAGAGGUUGAUCGGCCACAUUGGGACUGAGACACGGCCCAGACUCCUACGGGAGGCAGCAGUGGGGAAUAUUGGGCAAUGGGCGAAAGCCUGAACCCCAGCGACGCCGCGUGAAGGAUGAAGGUCUUCGGAUUGUAAACUUCUUUGAUCAGGGAAGAAAGAAAUGACGGUACCUGAAAAACAAGCCACGGCUAACUACGUGCCAGCCGCAGC
rnacentral:rRNA from 1 species